UACAGAGGGGGCAAGCGUUGUUCGGAAUUACUGGGCGUAAAGGGCGCGUAGGCGGCCCGCUAAGUCGAACGUGAAAUCCCCGAGCUCAACUCGGGAACUGCGUCCGAUACUGGCGGGCUUGAAUCCGGGAGAGGGAUGUGGAAUUCCAGGUGUAGCGGUGAAAUGCGUAGAUAUCUGGAGGAACACCGGUGGCGAAGGCGGCAUCCUGGACCGGCAUUGACGCUGAGGCGCGAAAGCUAGGGGAGCAAACGGG
rnacentral:rRNA from 1 species